CGCGGAGGAGGCGCGCUGCGGACUCGGGGGCCAGACCAGACCCGACCCGACCCGAUGCGCGCCUGGAAGCGGGAGUUUGGGGUCCCACGGAGGACAGUAACUCGUGCAGGGCGUGGAACAAAGUUCUAGUCGAAACUCCAGCCGUGGUGGCUGCCCUCCCGCAGGUUUCUCUUCGCCGUCGCCUUCCAGACAAAGCCGCGCUUUGCGCCCCUGGGACCGCCCGGGGCGCCCGAGGAACCCAGCCCUGAGGAUGGAGCCUGAGGCUGCUAGAGAGCUGAGAUUCCUUUCCAGGACCCGAGGGUGAAAGCACCCCAAACCAAGUAUCAAGAAAGGCAUCGCCUUCCCACCGCACUAGGGUUCUCCUGUGUUCCUCAUACAGGUUUCUCUCCAAUAAAACGAACUCUGAAGCUAUUUCUAGCCUUCAGCCACAACUAUGGACCCUUCAAAGGUUUCAUGAAGGUCUCGCUGGACUGGCAGCCUUUUGAAAAAAAGUUUCUCUCAGAGCCCAAAGAUAGCCAAAAGUUAACCAGCCCGAGCCAUAGUGAGCAAACCGCCAGGAAAGGCCAACUGAGUCUAAGAACACAGACCCUGCCUUAACAUUUGCAAGGCCAGGGAUCAUUACCCUAUAUUUGAAAUUUACAAGGAAUCUAUCAAGUUAACAAGUAAAAUGAAUUUUAUUCUACCUUGAGAAAUAUACCUGCAAAAUAACCCGAAAGGCAGGUUUGAAUGCAGAACUCACAGAUACCUGGGAGUUCUUCCAUCCAGAAUGACAGUCUGGAGAGGGUCAGACCUGAAUCUUGGCCUGUACAUCUCCACUCCUUUUGCUUCCUGUGCCCAGCUCUGUUCAACAAGAGGGUUUUGCUACAGGUGUGAACACUCCAGCCCACUCCACCAAGCUCUCUCCACCCCUUCCAAGGGCCACCCUUUAGCUGCUCCUUGGGCCCAAGAGUGCAGGUACCAGUUACUUGGUCUGGUAUUGAAAAGAGGAUUCUGAAAAGAGGCCAGCCCAAGGUCUGGAAUUUCGCGCGGAAAUUUUCAUCUGAAAAUACCAGAGUCUGAGUCCCAGGGACAUAGUCCAGAGUAGAAAGGCUCUCUAGAUUUUUCACCCCAUGGAGAGGAGUUAGAUUGCUGCCUUCUGAAAUGCAAGGCCAGGGCAGGCUUUUCUUGCCUGGGUCUACAGCAAUACUUAGCCCCUACGAAGUUUAUUUCAGAGAUCAAUUCCCAGGAAUCUAUUUAACAUUCUCAAUAGUAAAUGAUCCCGGAUUGCCAUACACUUAAAUAAAUUUGAAGAGCAGAUCAUUUGACCAACACUUUUUGUGAUUUAACUAUAUAAACCCAAAAGAGUCCAGCACUGUCUAAUAAUGCGUUCUAUGAUGAUAGACUUGUUCUAGAUCUGGUGCUGGGAAUGUAGCUCAGUGGUAGAGCUCCAAGCAUGGAGGCCAUGGAUUCUAUUCCCUACAUUGCAAAAAGAAAAGAAAAGAAAAAAAUUUCUAUGGGCUUGUUGUCCAAGAGGGUGGUCAUUUGUGGCUGUGUAGCCCUUGAAAUGUAAGAAGUGUGUUUUUCAUACUAUUUCAUAUUAAUUAAUGUAAAUUUGAGUUUAAGUGUCUGGUGGCUGCCCUGUUGGUGAUGCACCAGGUCUGGACACUACAAUAAAUAGUGGGAGAUUAUCACCAUUAUUAAGUAGCUUUUAAACAUAUAUAUAGUCCUAGAGGGCAAAAUGGUAACCUGUAUUAAGAUGGGUAAAAAUUCACAUUUCUCUUGAAUUUAUUAGAAGAAUUAUUAUUCCCUAACAUAAUUAUUGAUGAUCAUCAUCACCUGUUUUUUUAUAAAGUAAAAACUUACAUAGAAAUAGGGAAUUUUUUAAUCACCAUAUAGCUAUAGAUUGGCAUGUGAACUUCAAGCAUGAAUACUUUAAAGCCAAUACUUGAAGUAAUAAUGUACUUGUCUUAAUUUUGAAAUGUGUUUACCACAACUAACAUCAAUUUAAUACAUGUCUUCUUUUUGCUUCCCUAAAGUCAAGAAAGUUAUAUAAAGUACAGAAUUAUGAGAAAAAUAGAUUUCACAAGUUAAUCCAAGGAGAAAUAUGAAAGAAAUGUUUUUAUUUUACGGAUAGUAUCAGUUGUUCUUGCACAAAGAUCAAAACGUCUUUGAAAAUAAAGAUCAUUAGAGAUCACAAAUAGGAUAUUAAAGCUGAACAGGGCCUUCAAAGUAACAAUAUUAUAGUCCUUGGAAGGCACAGUUAUUAUUUUGUAUCAUCACGGAUUCAUGAGGAUAUGACAAGCAGUCCUUUCCACUUCUAAAGAUCUCAGAGGAUGACACUAUCUGAAACUUCCUAUCUCCUACCCUUCAGUCACACAGAACCUAAGCUUGCAUUAAGCUACCCCAUCCCUGACAGCUUUUUGCCAGACAGGUCUGUCUACUGCUGAUCCCCCUCAGGCCUUAAGAACAUCACACUAGUUGAAGUUAUAGGACUUCAUAGGUCCAUUCAAAGUCCCUACUAUGUUUGUGGUUGUGCCACUUUAGAAAGUCCUAUAGAAACUAAGGAACUGCUUGUUAACCAUACUUAUGUGCACUUAGCGCCGGAAAACACUAUUGCAUCAACUGUUGCUUUAAGGAUGGUAGAUAGACCACAUUCCAGAGCUGCUAUGCUGCGAAUCCUGUCUUGCCAUGUUAUGUGCAGCUUGUAGGUGAUCCCAGAGAAACACUCAGAGAUAUUUGCUCUUCUCAAUAGAUAAACUGUAUUAACUGUGUGUAUAGAUGUAUGUGUGUAAAUA
rnacentral:lncRNA from 1 species